CUUCUGCUGAUGACCCUCCGACCCGUGCCGAUAUUCCAUUUCUCUGCAAUUCAGUUGAUGAAACCUGUGAAGCCACAGGGGACGGCAGUGCUCCCUUGGAUGCUCAGAUAUGUACGGGUUUCUCUAAGUUGAUCAGCUUGGAGGUGAAGAAAGGCCUCCAGAAGUGCGCGACGUUCCCACCCUCGUCUGGUCAGCCUCAGCAGGAGGAUUGAUCAUGCUCCCAUGUAGGUGAUGGCCUCACGGGUGCUCCUGCUUUCUGGCGAUCUGUGUCCUUACCUGUGAUAAAUACAUGUGUGAGCUAAAUCUAUUGAUCUGCUUGUUUAUGUAACGGUACUUCAAAACUGUAUCACCGGUUAUGUCUUGGCAUGCUUCUUUACGGAUCUGUUAUCCAUGCAUGGCAGAUAAUAGUUGGCAUUUUAGCAGCACAACAAUAUUUCUAACUAUUAAGUGUUAAUUAUCUAAUGUUAUUUCUAACUA